GUUGUGGUGGUGGGUGUGUGUCUCUCUCGAGCACCCAUGAUAUUUCAGUGUACUUGAUUAAUUGUGGUUGCAGGGGUCGAGUCACAGCUCCUGGCCUGCUGGUGGUGUGUUGAACAUAGCUGUUGAAGUUGGUGGUGAUUAGUGGUGGUGACCAGUGGUAGUGUAACCAGUGGUGGUGUGACCAGUGGUGGUGUGACCAGUGGUAGUGUGACCAGUGGUGGUGUGACCAGUGGUAGUGUGACCAGUGGUAGUGUGACCAGUGGCACUGUGACCAGUGUUACUCCUUUUGGUCCUCCCUAGGUGUAAAACACCUUUGAAGCACAUGAGAUCAGCAGCUGUCUGCUGGAAGGUGCCUGUCUGCUGGAAGGUGCCUGUCUGCUGGAAGGUGCCUGUCUGCUGGAAGGUGCCUGUCUGCUGACGUCCAUAUAUUACGACCUUCAACUUCCUUCUAUUUUGCCUAUUGGCACUCACCUCUCUGCUGCACAUGACGGGUGCCAAGCAACACCUGCAACACUCCUGGCACCUGCAACACUCUUGGCACCCUUGUAUACCUCUUCAUGUGUGACCCAACAAGAAUACUUAAAUCAUUCUCAAAAUUUGAUUGUAUGGCGGCACCAGGGGAAAGUCGCAUUCCCAACGUGCGACUUU